AUACGUAGGGUGCGAGCGUUGUCCGGAAUUACUGGGCGUAAAGAGCUCGUAGGUGGUUUGUCGCGUCGUCUGUGAAAUUCCGGGGCUUAACUCCGGGCGUGCAGGCGAUACGGGCAUAACUUGAGUACUGUAGGGGAGACUGGAAUUCCUGGUGUAGCGGUGAAAUGCGCAGAUAUCAGGAGGAACACCGGUGGCGAAGGCGGGUCUCUGGGCAGUAACUGACGAUGAGGAGCGAAAGCAUGGGUAGCGAACAGGAUUAUAUACCCUGGUAGUCCAUGCCGUAAACGGUGGGCGCUAGGUGUAGGGGUCUUCCACGACUUCUGUGCCGUAGCUAACGCAUUAAGCGCCCCGCCUGGGGAGUACGGCCGCAAGGCUAAAACUUAAAGGAAUUGACGGGG
rnacentral:rRNA from 1 species